GGAAGAUUCGGCGUCGGCGGAGG
rnacentral:siRNA from 1 species